rnacentral:lncRNA from 1 species
GCUCCUUGUUUGGGGGAUCUGCUAGAAGGGAAUUGCCUCAUGGCCAAGGUUGAUUCUCUUGCUCUGAGCCCAGCAACAGGCACACAAAAAGUAUGAGCCAGGCAGUUAACAAAGCCUUCCAGAGACCCCGGGUGGCUCUCCCCAACGGUCACCACAGUGAGUUGGCUUUAUCUCUAUCCAGCUCCCAUCCCUGAGCAGAAGCCUGCAUGGCCAGCUGCCUCCUGGGCUGCCCUCUGGGAUGGCUAAUGGUUCCUGUUCCCACCUAAGGAACACUGUCCUCUCCCUUGGUCCCUGCUGCUUCUCUCACUAUCUCUCACCUGUCUGCUUACCCAAGUCCUAGCCUUCUACUUGUAGGAUAUGUCUAUCCCAACUCCUGCCAUGAUUCUCCACACUGCAGGUGCCCCAAGCAUGGCUCACAGUUCAUCUCUCCCUAGACCUGCAGAUUAAUUUAUAUGAGGACCCUGCAUCCUACAAUGUCCUGACACUUCUUCCUCUGAUCUUACAGUCUGGAUCUUUGUAGUCCAGGAAGACAGAAUUCACAUCUUCCUGCCUCGGCCUCCCAAAUGACUCCCAAAUGUGACCUACCAUGCUCAGCUUCCUCACCCACACCCACCCCCACCCUUUUGAGAUAGGGUCUCAUGUAGCUCAGGGCUCCCCUCAACCUUGAUACUUUAAACUUCUGAUCUUCCCACCUCCCUGACCUAAGUGUUAGGAUUAUAGGCGUGCACUGGUGGGGAUUAAAUCCAGGGUCUCAUGCAGGCUAGCUAAGCAGUCUAUCAACUGAACUAACUAUACUGCUAUUACAACCACAGUUGGACACUGCACAAAAAUGUUUCAGUCAACAAGGGACCACAUGUACAACAACAGUAUAAGGCCAGCACCUAAUAGCACCUCCCUGCCUUAGCUUCUGUAAACUUUCUUGGGAAAUGUCAGAAUCACAUGACACAUUUCUCAGAAUGUGACCCUGUGAAUGCAUGGCUGUACUUGGUAGCCCUGGGUUCUUUCACAGGGGACACUAAAACAAUGUGGCCUUGUCACUAAUCAUCUCCCAGGUAUCAACUCCAGUGUCUGCCAUGUAGUAGAAAUUUGGUAAAUAUUUGCUCAAAGAAUGUACAAAUGGAUGUAUCAAAUCAUUUCUUCAAAGUGCUACGUGAAGCCAGGUGCUGUAAUCCUAGCACUAGGAUUGUGGAGGCAGGAGGAUCAGAAGUUUAAGGUUAUCCUCAGCUCUAUAGUAAGUUCAGGAUAGGGCCACAUGAAUUCCAAAAAAGCUAUCUCAAAAAUCUAGAAUAGAGUCAACUGAACACAGUAUGUUUUGAGCAUAAUGUGCAUCUUGCUCCUGUGAUUGACACCUCCCACAGGACUGAGCUCACUAGAGCAUCUGAAAUACCAGACAGCAGCCACUGUUCACUCAGAUUGUCUGGCCCUGCCAUGGAGUGCUUUAAUAGCUCUCUGAAUUUUCAUUUAACUUUUAUGUCAGACUAUAAAACGUUUCAUGGCUGCAAAGCCAUUGCCACCCUCCACUCAGGGUCCAGCACAUGUGAUUGGCAAGUCCUCCAUCAUUCUGAGACUUUACUUGAUGCUGGCACCUGCAUCCAGCCAGGAUCUCCCUACACCCUGCCUAUUCACCUAACUCUGACCCCUAACCUCUCCUUGACUGGUCCAUAU